UCAAUAAAAGCAAGGCAAGGAUUAACAAAGAGGGCUCACUACGCUCCAGAGGAAAUCUGGAUGGAGUCAUCGAGAAGACAAAGACAGCAGGUCGGCUCAGCUGGGUGUGGUCUGCAAACCUGUGCCGGGGGAAAGCUGAGUGACUAAACCACAAACUUCUGAAGAUCCUCACCAGAUCAGAUCUGGAAAAGUGUGCAGAUGUUAUACUGGGCAACAGACCAGCGUGCUCAAGCAACAUGAGGCCAGAGGUGUCUGCCAGGCUCAGAGCAGAGGUCACCCUGACAGUGAUCGACUGAGAGAUCAUCACUCGGAGCCCCUGCAAAGAGCCGUCUGCAUGGGGCUUCCCCGUCCUUCCCGACCUCACAGACGCAGCCAAAGGAACGAGGGAGACAGACGAGGAGAAGCCUGAAUGUCUUUCCGAGAUGCUCAGGACACGGAGAGAGGGCGGCUGCUGCACCGAACAGGAACCAGGCAACACACGCUUGGUUUGAUUGACAUGAUUUCUGGCCAUCAUUGGACAGGUUUUUCUCAAAAAGCAGGCCUCUGUGCACCCACCACGAGAUAAAAUGUCUUUGUUUUUGGUGUGUAAAAUAUUAUCCUGUUAAUUAUAAUAUUGCUCUAUAUAUACAUACACUUAAAGCUUCUUUGAUCAUGAGGCUUAUUGAUACUGAACGACUUUGCAGUUAAAUGUUCAUUUAAUCAAAUUUGAAGCGACUCAUUUACAUAAUUUUUAUGGACAGAAUUUCUAGGCGUAGACAAGUGGUGGAAGGCGUCCACCUUGGUGGCCUCAGAAUCUCAAGUAUCUCGGGGUCUUGUUCACAGGAGAAGGGAGCGGGAGAUUGACAGAUAGAUCAGGGCUGCAUCUGCAGUGAUGCGAACGCUGCAUCGGUACGUCGUGGUAAAGAGGCAGCUGAGCGUAAAAUUGAAGCUAUCGAUUUACCGGUCGAUCUACGUCACGAGCUUUGGGUAGAUUUGGCCAUUUGGGACGGGAUCAGAGUAGAGCCGCUGCUCCUCCACAUCGAAACAAGCCAGUUGAGGUGGUUUGGGCAUGUGACUAGGAUGCCUCC